UACAGGGGGUGCAAACGUUGCUCGGAAUUAUUGGGCGUAAAGCGCGCGUAGGCGGCCACUUAAGUCGGAUGUGAAAGCCCCUGGCUCAACUGGGGAAGUGCACCCGAAACUGAAUGGCUUGAAUACAAAAGAGGGUCGCGGAAUUCCCGGUGUAGAGGUGAAAUUCGUAGAUAUCGGGAGGAACACCGGUGGCGAAGGCGGCGACCUGGGUUGAUAUUGACGCUGAGGCGCGAAAGCGUGGGGAUCAAACAGG
rnacentral:rRNA from 1 species